rnacentral:rRNA from 1 species
CCCUGAUUCAGCGGCGGACGGGUGAGUAAUGCCUAGGAAUCUGCCUGGUAGUGGGGGACAACGUUUCGAAAGGAACGCUAAUACCGCAUACGUCCUACGGGAGAAAGCAGGGGACCUUCGGGCCUUGCGCUAUCAGAUGAGCCUAGGUCGGAUUAGCUAGUUGGUGAGGUAAUGGCUCACCAAGGCGACGAUCCGUAACUGGUCUGAGAGGAUGAUCAGUCACACUGGAACUGAGACACGGUCCAGACUCCUACGGGAGGCAGCAGUGGGGAAUAUUGGACAAUGGGCGAAAGCCUGAUCCAGCCAUGCCGCGUGUGUGAAGAAGGUCUUCGGAUUGUAAAGCACUUUAAGUUGGGAGGAAGGGCAUUAACCUAAUACGUUAGUGUUUUGACGUUACCGACAGAAUAAGCACCGGCUAACUUCGUGCCAGCAGCCGCGGUAAUACGAAGGGUGCAAGCGUUAAUCGGAAUUACUGGGCGUAAAGCGCGCGUAGGUGGUUUGUUAAGUUGGAUGUGAAAGCCCCGGGCUCAACCUGGGAACUGCAUCCAAAACUGGCAAGCUAGAGUAUGGCAGAGGGUGGUGGAAUUUCCUGUGUAGCGG